rnacentral:rRNA from 1 species
GUCGAAGGGGCCGAGGAAACGAAGUGCGCGCCCCCUCUUUGGGGCGGGCUCCCUGGGGAGCACCUGCGCACUCGGGACGCCGGCGUAGUGGGCUUUUCAUCCGACCCGUCUUGAAACACGGACCAAGGAGUCUAACAUGCAUGCGAGCCGGUGGGCGGCAAACCCACGUUAGAGGCGAAAAUAACUUGACAGGGUGUGAUCCUCCUCCGCGGGGUGCAACAUCGACCGACCAUGAUCUUCUGUGAAAGGUUCGAGUAAGAGCAUGCCUGUUGGGACCCGAAAGAUGGUGAACUAUGCCUGAGCAGGGCGAAGUCAGAGGAAACUCUGGUGGAGGCUCGUAGCGAUACUGACGUGCAAAUCGUUCGUCAGACUCGGGUAUAGGGGCGAAAGACUAAUCGAACCAUCUAGUAGCUGGUUCCCUCCGAAGUUUCCCUCAGGAUAGCUGGAGCACGAGGAGUUUCAUCAGGUAAAGCGAAUGAUUAGAGGCAUCGGGGGUGAAACACCCUCGACCUAUUCUCAAACUUUAAAUAGGUGAGAUCCGA